rnacentral:ncRNA from 1 species
CAAAAAUCUGUGAAAGAUCGAGUACGUCAUUAUUGGACCUUCAAAGAGAAAACUGCCAUGGCUGCAAGCAGUUUAGGACAAAUGUCGGAAAGACAAUCUGGAGAUGAACAGAAGAAAAGCUGUUCCGUGAACGAGCGUUAAUCGAAAGGAGAAUGAAAGUUCUCGAAUUUUAGGUGGUACCGCGUGUAAUAACUCGCCCUUGUG